rnacentral:rRNA from 1 species
GAACGCCGUAGCAAUACGGAGUGGCAGACGGGUGAGUAACACGUGGGAACGUACCCUUUGGUUCGGAACAACACAGGGAAACUUGUGCUAAUACCGGAUAAGCCCUUACGGGGAAAGAUUCAUCGCCAAAGGAUCGGCCCGCGUCUGAUUAGCUAGUUGGUGAGGUAACGGCUCACCAAGGCGACGAUCAGUAGCUGGUCUGAGAGGAUGAUCAGCCACACUGGGACUGAGACACGGCCCAGACUCCUACGGGAGGCAGCAGUUAGGAAUCUUGGACAAUGGGCGCAAGCCUGAUCCAGCCAUGCCGCGUGAGUGAUGAAGGCCUUAGGGUUGUAAAGCUCUUUCAGCGGGGAAGAUAAUGACGGUACCCGCAGAAGAAGCCCCGGCUAACUUCGUG